CUACGGGGUGCUGCAGUGGGGAAUAUUGCACAAUGGAGGAAACUCUGAUGCAGCAACGCCGCGUGGAGGAUGACACUUUUCGGAGCGUAAACUCCUUUUAUAUAGGAAGAAGAUGACGGUACUAUAUGAAUAAGCGCCGGCUAACUCCGUGCCAGCAGCCGCGGUAAUACGGAGGGCGCAAGCGUUACUCGGAAUCACUGGGCGUAAAGAGCGUGUAGGCGGAUUAAAAAGUCAGAAGUGAAAUCCUAUAGCUUAACUAUAGAACUGCUUCUGAAACUCUUAAUCUAGAAUAUGGGAGAGGUAGAUGGAAUUUCUGGUGUAGGGGUAAAAUCCGUAGAGAUCAGAAGGAAUACCGAUUGCGAAGGCGAUCUACUAGAACAAUACUGACGCUAAGGCGUGAAAGCGUGGGGAGCAAACAGGAUUAGAUACCCGUGUAGUC
rnacentral:rRNA from 1 species